CAGUCGCCGCGGUAAUACAGAGGGUGCAAGCGUUAAUCGGAAUUACUGGGCGUAAAGCGCGCGUAGGUGGUUUGUUAAGUUGAAUGUGAAAUCCCCGGGCUCAACCUGGGAACUGCAUCCAAAACUGGCAAGCUAGAGUAGGGCAGAGGGUGGUGGAAUUUCCUGUGUAGCGGUGAAAUGCGUAGAUAUAGGAAGGAACACCAGUGGCGAAGGCGACCACCUGGGCUCAUACUGACACUGAGGUGCGAAAGCGUGGGGAGCAAACAGGAUUAGAUACCCCCGUAGUCCCUGUCUCUUAUAC
rnacentral:rRNA from 1 species